rnacentral:lncRNA from 1 species
GUUGAGCUGUUCGUCAGCUAGGGAUGGGAACUCCUUUGAAAGUAGAGUUCGUUGGUUCGGGUUUCGUCCAUCUGCUCUGGCAAAUGAUCUCGCAUUCGGGUGAGUGAAUAAGAAGCUUUCUGACACGAAACAAUAAUCCCAUCGCGUUGGACUGAACCUUGACCUUGCCUUUGGGAUGAGUCCUAGCUUUGAACUGAACCUUUGGUUUGAACUUGUAGACGAAUCUUCCAACUUGGGGACUAGACCAUUUGCCAUUGGUGGCAUGGAAAGGCGCUCCACACGAAAAAGAAAAGAAAGUGGGCAAGACGCCAAGCAAAGACCUUGACGCCCGUGCCUGAGUGAAAAGUUCGGUAGAAUUCCUUCUUCUCAUCUGGUAGCGUGAACAACCACAAUCCCUAUUAUCUUUCUUUCUAGCAGCAGGAAUUGUCUUUUGCCAACCUGGAAUGGAGGCUAUAGCAGCAGAAGGGAAUGGUACGAGGGCGAGAUCGGGUGGACUAUUACUGGAAUCGGAACGGUAGGAUGGGGAAUAAAGAAAUGGAAAGGAUUGGGCAGCAAGCACACAGUCGAUGAAGUAGAGAUCCGGCCUAGGGUUACCCUGCACUUGCAAGACGGAUCGAAGGAGGAAGCCGAGACAUCAGGUUCAAAUUCCAGCGGAGAUGAAGACCAUCAGACACUGAUUCUGAGGAUUCAGGACACAGUCCAAGAGAGAGAGAGAUGGAGUCAUGUGGUUGGAACACGACUUGGGAGACAUUUCUUGAUGAGUAGCUCUACAGGUGUACGAAAAACAUUUUUGAAAGACUAUUAAGCGCUGGAAGAACACUUCAGGCAGGUCAUCGAUAGUUGACGACGGUGGACCUGUGGGGGAGCACUUUACUUUAAGGCGUGCCCCAGCAUUAGCAGCAUCUAGUCUUUAGACAAGCAAUUAUUGGAGCCGGAGGGACGAGGGCUCUCUCUCUCCACUUCACCAUCGGAUACUGUAUGGAAAAAAACUAAAGAUUUCUUAUCCCGAACUUAGGACAAGUAUCCGGGCAAUUGUUCGAAUACUUCUCCUAUUGUUCUGUUUCCUUUCCUCCCUUUCCUUAAAGCUGAAAUUCCGGGAAAUCGGAUUUCAGAGUAUAGGAAUAUUCCCCCUGAGGGGGACGAGGCCGUAGGCCGAAGGGGGGUAAGAAUAUCCUAUAAAAGAUAGGAAGGGGAGGGGGUUCGGGG